rnacentral:lncRNA from 1 species
CUCUCAUAAUAGCAAUACGUUCCCCAGCUUAUUUUCUAGCCUCCGCCCCCAAUAAAUGACCAUAGUUUGGGAAAUCAUCAAAGAAGUAAAAAUCAGCCUUAACAACAUAAGUGGAGUAAAUUUAACCAAUAAUCACUGAACUUUACAAUUGAUUACUAAUUGCUCACUCAUCUUUUACAUAUUACUGAAUGCUCACUCAUCUUUUCAUAUAAUUACUCAUUCACCACUCGUCUCUUCAAAUAAUUGGGCUACUUUUACGGCAAAUUUUCGACAACUUCCGACUACAAAGAAUGUCAAAUUUUGAUACCGUUAGAAAGCCCACGAUGUCCUCUUUAAUUACCACCCAAAAUCUCAUUAUAACUCCAAGGGAUUCGAUCGAAAAAUUGCCUUAAAAGUNACUUUUAAGGCAAUUUUUCGAUCGAAUCCCUUGGAGUUAUAAUGAGAUUUUGGGUGGUAAUUGAAGAGGAUAUCGCGAGCUUUCCAACGGUAUCAAAAUUCGACAUUCUUUGUAGUCGAAAGUUGUUGAAAAUUUGCCGUAAAAGUCGUCCAAUUAUUUGAAGAGACGAGUGGUGAAUAAGUAAUUAUAUAAAAAGAUGAGUGAGCAUUCAGUAAUCUGUGAAAGAUGAGUGAGCAAGUAGUAAUCAAGUGUAAAGUUAAGUGAUAAUUGGUUAAAUUUACUCACAUAAGUGAAACCAUUGCUGAUAAUUUGCAAAUUAAAACAAAGCUGAAGAAAUAGUUGAUAAUAACCCUCCCACCACCCACAAUAUAUUUAUACACCCACUAUAAUCCACCGCCGACCACCGCACAGCGCAUCAGAAAUGGCUUCAAGAAUUUCCCGAAGAUGUAAGCUUUCAUCAAUAUGUAUACACCAACUAAAAUCCAAACACCCAACUCAAUUUCAACCUCCAACCCCUCUUCAAAAUUCAUACACGGACGUUAAAUUAUCCUCACAAAUCAAUACUGAUGACACAAUAACCUCCUCCUGUAAUAUGCUCCAAGUGAAACCUUCACCACAGAUCUUGUCAUUUUUAAGAAAUUGCUAGCCGUCGUUGCCAACACCAAGAACUAUGAAGAUGAGAUUUUUUGUAGAAAAGGUGGAAAAAUGAGGAAACUGAGAAAUCGCGUAGGGGGGAAUCGAACCUUUAUACACACACAUAUAUACAACGCUCACCGUCAGAGGAAUUGAAGCAUGGCCGACGGCGAAUCUUCUGGUUCUCAUUUGGGGUUGGGUGAGGAUGAGGGUUGUUGAAGAAGAUGGAAUUUGGUGUGGGGUGGGUUUUUUUGGUAUUUUAAUUUGAUUAUUAUAGUUGUAAUUUAUAUGAUAAAUGUAAAUUUAUCCCUAUACCCUAAAUUAGUCAACUUUUGGUUAGAUUAUUGACUUUGG